rnacentral:rRNA from 1 species
GAUGAACGCUGGCGGCGUGCCUAAUACAUGCAGGUCGAGCGAACAGACGAGGAGCUUGCUCCUCUGACGUUAGCGGCGGACGGGUGAGUAACACGUGGAUAACCUACCUAUAAGACUGGGAUAACUUCGGGAAACCGGAGCUAAUACCGGAUAAUAUAUUGAACCGCAUGGUUCAAUAGUGAAAGACGGUUUUGCUGUCACUUAUAGAUGGAUCCGCGCCGCAUUAGCUAGUUGGUAAGGUAACGGCUUACCAAGGCGACGAUGCGUAGCCGACCUGAGAGGGUGAUCGGCCACACUGGAGCUGAGACACGGUCCAGACUCCUAAGGGAGGCAGCAGUAGGGAAUCUUCCGCAAUGGGCGAAAGCCUGACGGAGCAACGCCGCGUGAGUGAUGAAGGUCUUCGGAUCGUAAAACUCUGUUAUUAGGGAAGAACAAAUGUGUAAGUAACUAUGCACGUCUUGACGGUACCUAAUCAGAAAGCCACGGCUAACUACGUG